rnacentral:snRNA from 1 species
GUGAGAAAAAUGGCAGCACACUGACUAAAACUGAAACAAUACAGACAUUAGCAUGGUCCUGCCACAAGGAUGACAAGCAUGGAAUUAUGAAAAUACACAUUAUG